rnacentral:rRNA from 1 species
GUCUAUGGCCAUAUCACCCUGAAUGUGCCAGAUCUCAUCUGAUCUUGGAAGCUAAGCAGGCUCAGGCCUGGUUAGUACUUGGAUGGGAGAUUUCAGGUUCUCUCUUGAUA